rnacentral:lncRNA from 1 species
AGUUGAUAGAUCCUUCGCAACUGCUCUGUGGGCUUCUGCUACCUGCGUCUGGCUGAGAAAGACACCCCUGAUGAGACAGGGGAGACUUCCUCCCGACCUGACGUCUGCAAGCCGUGGUCCUUGGGCUGAUCUUUUCAAUCUGAACAACCUUUCCUCUGCUGAAGAUGUGUUGGCAUGCAGCGAGCUGUUUCAAUUCCUCAUAUCCUGAAGAAGAGUCCUCUGGUUUUAU